GAAACCCUUCAGCAUUUUAAACUACAAAACACAUGGAUGUGGUUUGCAGGAACCCAGUCUCUUCUGAGAAUCCACCCAGAGAAGAGGAUGGAGUAGAUGGAGGAUUGUCACAUAGCAGAACAAUUUCAGAUUGGGAAUAACCAUCCUUACCGGCUUCUGGACUGAGCCUGAAGCACCAGACUGACAGAUUCAGCUAUAUUCUUCUUUACUGCAAUGCCUUGCAGAGAAAAGGCAGUGAAAGAGCUGGCAGAUCUGAAACAGAGUGGGACAGAACAGAACUUUUCUUCAGAGUGGAACUUUUCAAGACAAGAUGAACAUCAGGGGAUGGGAAAUUCAAGAUAGUUUAAUGCCACCCAGCAAAGAGGUUUUCAGUAAAAAUUUGUGUAGUUUUUCACAGCAUCUUGAAAACAUGAAAGUUUCUGGAAACCAAGACAGCAAUACUCCCACAGGCCAAGUAAGAACACUAACAAAGAAAAUAAAAAGACAGAUCUGGUGGGAAUUUAUUUAAAUUAAAAGAAUUCUUAUUUCAGGAAGUCCUCCACUUGUUGUAUUCCCUCUUUCCAGUCUUUAGGGAACUAUUUCCCACAAGGUAUCCUGCUCCUUCACUCUAAGACCUUCUCUGGGCGGGUAACAGACCUGGACUCCUGCCAUGAAAGGGAGUACUUGGGCUGGUCCUUUAGGGAUGAUGUCCUGCUGGUGAAGGUCUACAAAUCUGCUCUGCUGCUCUUCUUCUGAAGAAUCUAAUUGCAGUUCCUGGCCAGGAGAAGAAAGGAACUUUUUACUUUCAACCAUCCUCUUCAGUGAAUGGGUAGAUAGUUCAGGCUUGUUUUGGCAUGUGAGCUUUUUUACCUUUCACAGACUCUGCUGGAAGCUGAUCCCCCAUCACACCUGUAUACGGGCACAGAGCAGAUCUUACUCCUAGCACUACAUACAAGCAGGCCUUCCUCCUGGUGCCUGACACCCAACUCUCUCCUUUUCUCACACCCAUCAGUUUAUUUCUUCAUUGCAGGUGAUGCAAUAUAUUCCCAGAUAGCUCCUGUGCUGCUUUUCUUCAUGAUGAAAUUCACCUCCAGCCCCAAGUCAGCCUCAUUUCCCUCAAUUAUCUCUGAGAAGAUUAUCUAAAGAGAUGUGUUCAGCACCCAUUAGAAUUUUUUUUUUAUACUUUACCUAGGUUUUAAAGACAUUUCCUUCCAUUAUUUGCAGGGACAAUAUGAGGUAGAUAUUAAAAGGAAAGAUUUUCUACUCUCUAUAUAACUGGUGCUGCCAUGCUGUAUAGGACAUUGUCACCCUGUGACACAUUUUAUCCCUAUAAUGCUAUUAAGAACGGUAUCAAAAUACCUUAUUUGCUUUGCCUAUAGCAGUCACAUAAAUUGAAGAUACCCAGAAACAGCUUACAUUCAUAUCUGGCAGCUUUGAAAAAUGAUCUAAUUUUGAUUGCAAGUAGCAUAGCAACCUCCUUUGUGAUAUAACUCUUUAUUUGACUUCUUUUCUUCAUUCUCCAGCCUCAAAUUUUGUCAGCUACAAACACUAACAACCAAUUUCUAUCUACACCUAUAUUCUUUCCAGAAAAUCAUAGCAUGGAAAACAAAUAGAAUUUCUGCUUUGUUUUCCUGUAUUAUCAAUGAAAUUUUGGAUCUGUUCACUUAAAGAAAACACAGAAUUGACUUCCCUUACUCUUAACACCUCUCUCCAUACAGGAGAACUUUCUGUUUUCAGUGAUAGAACUCCCACUUCCUACUUACAAAUUGGCACUAGGUGUGUUAGUCAUGUGACAGAUCUGUUAGGAUUUUUUAAGUGAGGUGACUGUCUUAGCAAGU